UACGUAGGGGGCUAGCGUUGUCCGGAAUCAUUGGGCGUAAAGCGCGUGUAGGCGGUUCGGUAAGUCCGCUGUGAAAGUCGGGGGCUCAACCCUCGAAUGCCGGUGGAUACUGUCGGGCUAGAGUACGGAAGAGGCGAGUGGAAUUCCUGGUGUAGCGGUGAAAUGCGCAGAUAUCAGGAGGAACACCAAUUGCGAAGGCAGCCCGCUGGGACGUUACUGACGCUGAGACGCGAAAGCGUGGGGAGCAAACAGG
rnacentral:rRNA from 1 species